rnacentral:rRNA from 1 species
UACGGAGGAUGCGAGCGUUAUCCGGAUUUAUUGGGUUUAAAGGGUGCGUAGGCGGAUUGAUAAGUCAGUGGUGAAAUUCUACAGCUUAACUGUAGACUUGCCGUUGAUACUGUUAGUCUUGAGUGUGGUCAAGGAAGGCGGAAUGUGUAAUGUAGCGGUGAAAUGCUUAGAUAUUACACAGAACACCAAUUGCGUAGGCAGCUUACUGAGCCGACACUGACGCUGAGGCACGAAAGCGUGGGGAUCAAACAGGAUUA